rnacentral:tRNA from 1 species
CAGUAAAUAGUUUAUUAAAAUAUUAAUUUUGGGGAUUAAAGAUAAGUGUUUCUUUUUACUGA